rnacentral:lncRNA from 1 species
GAGACUGCUGCAUGCUGCUGCACGCUUGGAGAGCCCGCGUGUUUGAACAGCUAUAAAAAUUAAUUAUUACCAAAGGCUUACAAAGCUUCAGAGUUUUUGGCCUCGAUUCGCGAAUCCCAUCUGAAAAGUAAAGAGGGUUGUUAUUUGUGCAUUAUGUAUCACAAUUGGUCUCUUUGAUAACGUUCUCAUUCAUACGGGGUUUGAUUUAUGAGCUAGUGAAGGCAAACAUG